UGUCUAAAUAGAUUUUAGCAGCAUAUUAAUAAAAGUUCUUCAGGGUUUAAUGCUGGACAAGAAAACUUUGAGUUCUGGACUUUUUUCACUCUCAUCAGGGAAUUAAACAAACAGCAACGGGAGAAGAUGAUCUGCAGGAUCCUUCUGCUCAUCAGCCUGACCUCCUGUGUCUCUGGAAGAUUAGUGGUGGCAGUGACUCAGACCUCCUAUCAGGCAGAGGAGAACCACAAC